AAGAGAAACACAGAGGAAAUUUUGUCUCUGAUCUUUUCCACUUUACGGUCCACUCCACUGAUCUGAAGCUCCCUUCUUCUUUCUCUUCUUCUCCACGGUGUAUUCAGUAAUUUUGCAGCAUGUGUACAGGAAGGUGUUGUUGUUUAAUGGUUGGGGUUCUGUACCCCCUAGCCCUCACCUCUAUCAUCUGUAACUUCAUCCUGUUUUUUCCCGAUUGGAAAGUAAGAUACAUCUUGGAGAAGAACAUAACCCAGGAGGUGAUAUACAUGGGAGGACUGGUUGGAGGACUAACGGCUUUGGCUCCAGCUUUGUUUUUUCAUGUUUUGAGUAAGCGACUGCCCUGCAUUAAAUGCUGUGGGGUGUUUGUGUCAGUCCUGUUUUCAGCAGCAGGACUGUGUGGCGCCAUCUACAGCUUCAUAAUGGCCUUGUCUGGGCUGCUUAAUGGGCCCUACUGUAAAGUUUAUUCGUCUUGGAAUACUCCAUUUGAUAAAA